rnacentral:rRNA from 1 species
UGCGGGUGCUACCAUGCAGUCGACGGGUAGUAGCAAUACUAUCAGUGGCGGACGGGUGAGGAACACGUAGGUAAUCUGCCUUUUAGUGGGGGAAAACAGUUGGAAACGACUGCUAAUACCGCAUGUGGAUCCCUUCCGUAAGGAAGUUAUCCAAAGGGGGGUCGCAAGACCUCUCGCUAGAAGAUGAGCCUGCGUCCCAUUAGCUAGUUGGUAGGGUAAUGGCCUACCAAGGCUUCGAUGGGUAGCUGGUCUGAGAGGACGACCAGCCACACUGGAACUGAGACACGGUCCAGACUCCUACGGGAGGCAGCAGUGGGGAAUUUUGCACAAUGGGGGAAACCCUGAUGCAGCGACGCCGCGUGGGUGAUGAAGGCCUUCGGGUUGUAAAGCCCUGUCGGCUGGGAAAAAGGUAGUCGUGCUAAUACCACGAUUGCUUGAUGGUACCAGCAAAGGAAGCACCGGCUAACUCUGUGCCAGCAGCCGCGGUAAUACAGAGGGUGCAAGCGUUGUUCGGAAUUACUGGGUGUAAAGGGCGCGUAGGCGGCUAUUUAAGUCAGAUGUGAAAACCCGAAGCUCAACUUCGGACGUGCAUUUGAAACUAUUUAGCUAGAGUACAGUAGAGGAUGGUGGAAUUCCCAGUGUAGAGGUGAAAUUCGUAGAGAUUGGGAGGAACACCGGUGGCGAAGGCGGCCAUCUGGGCUGUAACUGACGCUGAGGCGCGAAAGCGUGGGGAUCAAACAGGAUUAGAUACCCUGGUAGUCCACGCUGUAAACUAUGGAUACUCGCUGUGACUGGUAUUGACCCCGGUCGUAGCUUAGAAAACUCGUUAAGUAUCCCACCUGGGGAGUACGGUCGCAAGAUUAAAACUCAAAGGAAUUGACGG